rnacentral:tRNA from 1 species
CAAGACAUAGCUAAGUUAGUAUAGCACCUUACUUACACUGAGUAGUCGCCUGUUCAAAUCAGGCUGUCUUGAC